AUAUUAAAUGGCCGCGAUAAUUUGAUCGUGCAAAGGUAGCAUAAUAAUUAGUUUCUUAAUUGGGAACUGGAAUGAAGGGUCGCACGAGAAAAAGACUGUCUCAAUUUAAAUUUAAUUAGAAUUUUAUUUUUAAGUAAAAAAGCUUAAAUAAUUUUAAAAGACGAGAAGACCCUAUAGAGUUUUAUAUUUAUUUAUUUAUUUUUUAGUUUUAGAAUUUAAUUUUAAAAUUUAUAAUUAAAUAUUUGGUUGGGGCGAUUAAAAAAUUGAAUAAACUUUUUUUUAUUUAUUUAACAUUAAUAUAUGAUUAAGUGAUCCAUAAAUAAUGAUUAAAAGAUUAAAUUACCUUAGGGAUAACAGCGUAAUUUUUUUUGAGAGUUCUUAUCGAAAAAAAAGUUUGCGACCUCG
rnacentral:rRNA from 1 species